UACGGAGGGUGCAAGCGUUGUUCGGAAUCACUGGGCGUAAAGCGCGUGUAGGCGGUCCGUUAAGUCUGAUGUGAAAGCCCGGGGCUCACCCCCGGAAGUGCAUUGGAAACUGACAGACUCGAGUCCCGGAGAGGAGAGUGGAAUUCCUGGUGUAGCGGUGAAAUGCGUAGAUAUCAGGAGGAACACCGGUGGCGAAGGCGGCUCUCUGGACGGUGACUGACGCUGAGACGCGAAAGCGUGGGGAG
rnacentral:rRNA from 1 species